rnacentral:rRNA from 1 species
ACUCAAAGGAAUAGACGGGGGCCCGCACAAGCGGUGGAGCAUGUGGUUUAAUUCGAUGCAACGCGAAGAACCUUACCUACUCUUGACAUCCAGAGAAUCCUGCAGAGAUGCGGGAGUGCCGAAAGGAAUUCUGAGACAGGUGCUGCAUGGCUGUCGUCAGCUCGUGUUGUGAGAUGUUGGGUUAAGUCCCGUAACGAGCGCAACCCUUAUCCUUAGUUGCCAACAUGUAAUGGUGGGGACUCUAAGGAGACUGCUGGUGAUGAACCGGAGGAAGGCGGGGACGACGUCAAGUCAUCAUGGCCUUUAUGAGUAGGGCUACACACGUGCUACAAUGGGAUAGACAGAGGGAAGCCAAACUGCGAAGUGGAGCCGAUCUCACAAACUAUCUCUCAGUCCGGAUUGGAGUCUGCAACUCGACUCCAUGAAGUUGGAAUCGCUAGUAAUCGCGAAUCAGAAUGUCGCGGUGAAUACGUUCCCGGGCCUUGUACACACCGCCCGU